rnacentral:rRNA from 1 species
ACGAACGCUGGCGGCGCGCCUAACACAUGCAAGUCGAACGAGCGAGAGAGAGCUUGCUUUCUCGAGCGAGUGGCGAACGGGUGAGUAACGCGUGAGGAACCUGCCUCAAAGAGGGGGACAACAGUUGGAAACGACUGCUAAUACCGCAUAAGCCCACGACCCGGCAUCGGGUAGAGGGAAAAGGAGCAAUCCGCUUUGAGAUGGCCUCGCGUCCGAUUAGCUAGUUGGUGAGGUAACGGCCCACCAAGGCGACGAUCGGUAGCCGGACUGAGAGGUUGAACGGCCACAUUGGGACUGAGACACGGCCCAGACUCCUACGGGAGGCAGCAGUGGGGAAUAUUGCACAAUGGGGGAAACCCUGAUGCAGCGACGCCGCGUGGAGGAAGAAGGUCUUCGGAUUGUAAACUCCUGUUGUUGAGGAAGAUAAUGACGGUACUCAACAAGGAAGUGACGGCUAACUACGU